GUUAGGAAUAUUGGACAAUGGGCGCAAGCCUGAUCCAGCCAUGCCGCGUGAGUGAUGAAGGCCUUCGGGUUGUAAAGCUCUUUAGCCGAUGAUUAUAAUGACUGUAGUCGGAAAAUAAGCCCCGGCUAACUUCGUGCCAGCAGCCGCGGUAAUACGAAGGGGGCGAGCGUUAUUCGGAAUCACUGGGCGUAAAGCGUGCGUAGGCGGCUUUGCAAGUUGGGAGUGAAAGCACAGGGCUCAACCCUGGAAUUGCUCUCAAAACUGCAAGGCUCGAAUUCGGGAGAGGAUAGCGGAAUUGUCAGUGUAGCAGUGAAAUGCGUAGAUAUUGACAGGAACACCAGUGGCGUAAGCGGCUAUCUGGACCGAUAUUGACGCUGAGGCACGAAAGCGUGGGGAUCAAACAGGAUUAGAUACCCUUGUAGUCC
rnacentral:rRNA from 1 species